AGAUUCAGAGGUUCUUCAUUGCCUUACCAUAUUUGUAAGUCACAAACUGGAAGCUACCACAGGGUCCAGCCUUAUGAGAGUGGUGCAGUCAAUCCCAGAUCUUCCAUAUGACAGGGAGCUGGUCAUCCUUCAAAGUGCUGCUUACUAAGAUGACAAUGAGACUGGAAAAUUCUCAUUAAAUAAACAAAUGGCUGGGUAUGACCACAAUCCCAGUUCUGGCCGAUGGUAUGUAGGCAGAGCCAAUGGAGGCAAACAGCCUCUCCUUUCCCUUCUUUCCUUCUUGUCACCUGGGAUGAGGAUGUGAAGGUGAAUCUUCAGGGACCAUGCAGAGCGGGCAACACGCUGGAGAUGGCAGCUGAGUGAGAAGAUCAAAGGAGCCUGGUUCGGACAGUUGACAUCAAGAUUGACACAUGAGAAACAAGUAACUUCCGAUUUGUUUAAGCCACUGUAUUUGAACCUUAGUUAUAUCCACCAAACUGAUACUCCAGCUAGUACUGUUGUGACAGCCUAGGUGAACAUAAUUGCCCGCUUGCUGGCUGAGUGAACUUGGGAAAGGUACAUAAUAUCCCAGUGCCUCAAUCCCCUCAUCUUUUUUUUUUUU
rnacentral:lncRNA from 10 species